rnacentral:rRNA from 1 species
AUUGAACGCUGGCGGCAGGCCUAACACAUGCAAGUCGAACGGUAGCACAGAGAGCUUGCUCUCGGGUGACGAGUGGCGGACGGGUGAGUAAUGUCUGGGAAACUGCCCGAUGGAGGGGGAUAACUACUGGAAACGGUAGCUAAUACCGCAUAACGCCGCAAGACCAAAGUGGGGGACCUUCCGGCCUCACACCAUCGGCGGUGCCCAGAUGGGAUUAGCUAGUAGGUGGGGUAAUGGCUCACCUAGGCGACGAUCCCUAGCUGGUCUGAGAGGAUGACCAGCCACACUGGAACUGAGACACGGUCCAGACUCCUACGGGAGGCAGCAGUGAGGAAUAUUGCACAAUGGGCGCAAGCCUGAUGCAGCCAUGCCGCGUGUAUGAAGAAGGCCUUCGGGUUGUAAAGUACUUUCAGCGGGGAGGAAGGCGAUGUGGUUAAUAACCGCAUUGAUUGACGUUACCCGCAGAAGAAGCACCGGCUAACUCCGUGCCAGCAGCCGCCGUAA